GAUGAACGCUGGCGGCGUGCUUAACACAUGCAAGUCGAACGAAGCUGUUAAAAGGAAGUCUUCGGAUGGAAUUUUAACAGACUUAGUGGCGGACGGGUGAGUAACGCGUGGAUAACCUGCCUUAUACAGGGGGAUAACGGAGAGAAAUUUCCGCUAACACCGCAUAAGACCACAGCACCGCAUGGUGCAGGGGUAAAAUAUUUAUAGGUAUAAGAUGGAUCCGCGUCCGAUUAGCUAGUUGGUGAGGUAGAGGCUCACCAAGGCGACGAUCGGUAGCCGGCCUGAGAGGGUGAACGGCCACAUUGGGACUGAGACACGGCCCAAACUCCUACGGGAGGCAGCAGUGGGGAAUAUUGGACAAUGGGGGAAACCCUGAUCCAGCGACGCCGCGUGAGUGAAGAAGUAUUUCGGUAUGUAAAGCUCUAUCAGCAGGGAA
rnacentral:rRNA from 1 species